rnacentral:rRNA from 1 species
UACGGAGGGUGCGAGCGUUGUCCGGAAUCACUGGGCGUAAAGGGCGCGUAGGCGGCCUGAUAAGUAGGGGGUGAAAUCCUGCGGCUUAACCGCAGGGCUGCCUUCUAAACUGUCAGGCUAGAGCACAGUAGAGGCAGGUGGAAUUCCCGGUGUAGCGGUGGAAUGCGUAGAGAUCGGGAGGAAGGCCGGUGGCGAAGGCGGCGCUCUGGAACGUUACUGACGCUGAGACACGAAAGCGUGGGGAGCAAACAGG